rnacentral:rRNA from 1 species
UACGAAGGGGGCUAGCGUUGCUCGGAAUCACUGGGCGUAAAGGCGCGUAGGCGGCCAUUCAAGUCAGGGGUGAAAGCCUGUGGCUCAACCACAGAAUUGCCUUUGAUACUGUUGGCUAGAGACCGGAAGAGGUAAGUGGAACUGCGAGUGUAGAGGUGAAAUUCGUAGAUAUUGCAAGACACCAGUGGCGAAGGCGGCUUACUGGUC